UACAGAGGUCCCAAGCGUUGUUCGGAGUUACUGGGCGUAAAGGGUGCGUAGGCGGCCUUAUAAGUAUGGUGUGAAAUCUCCCGGCUUAACUGGGAGGGUGCGCUAUAGACUGUGGGGCUAGAGUGUGGGAGAGGAAAGUGAAAUUCCUGGUGUAGCGGUGAAAUGCGUAGAUAUCAGGAGGAACACCGGUGGUGUAAACGGCUUUCUGGACCAUAACUGACGCUGAGGCACGAAAGCGUGGGUAGCAAACAGG
rnacentral:rRNA from 1 species